rnacentral:rRNA from 1 species
UUUAUGGAGAGUUUGAUCCUGGCUCAGAGUGAACGCUGGCGGCGUGCCUAAUACAUGCAAGUCGAACGAUGAAGCUUUUAGCUUGCUAGAAGUGGAUUAGUGGCGCACGGG